rfam:Ricinus communis cultivar Hale ctg_1100012356686, whole genome shotgun sequence.
AGCCCAUGAUGUGGACAAUGCCUCAAAAGAUCCUCAUAUCUCUCCCAUGCGUCGUACAACGACUCAUCCCUUUUUUGUCUAAAAUUUGAAAUUUCAGACCUUAACUU